CUCGAGGCCAGAUCUAGAGUUUGAUCCUGGCUGAGAUUGAACGCUGGCGGCAUGCCUUACACAUGCAAGUCGAACGGCAGCAUGGGAGCUUGCUCCUGAUGGCGAGUGGCGAACGGGUGAGUAAUAUAUCGGAACGUGCCCUAAAGUGGGGGAUAACUAGUCGAAAGACUAGCUAAUACCGCAUACGAUCUACGGAUGAAAGUGGGGGAUCGCAAGACCUCAUGCUCCUGGAGCGGCCGAUAUCUGAUUAGCUAGUUGGUGGGGUAAAAGCCUACCAAGGCGACGAUCAGUAGCUGGUCUGAGAGGACGACCAGCCACACUGGGACUGAGACACGGCCCAGACUCCUACGGGAGGCAGCAGUGGGGAAUUUUGGACAAUGGGGGCAACCCUGAUCCAGCAAUGCCGCGUGAGUGAAGAAGGCCUUCGGGUAGUAAAGCUCUUUUGUCAGGGAAGAAACGGUAGUAGCUAAUAUCUAUUACUAAUGACGGUACCUGAAGAAUAAGCACCGGCUAACUACGUGCCAGCAGCCGCGGUAAUACGUAGGGUGCAAGCGUUAAU
rnacentral:rRNA from 1 species